AACAGUUUCUUCAAAGCGCUAUUUGAAGGAUUAAAUAAUAUGUUAUAUGUGAAUGCUGUGUUAACUUUAGAGCACUUAAUAAAUAUAAAAUAUUCCUCUGAUCAGCCUAGAAGGAUCAAUUAUGAUUAUAAAAGGCCUUAAAUUCCAACCUGAUGAAUCUUCUCAUUUUUAUACGCAAAGGAGAAACGGAAAAUACGUCUGACGGGGGAGUGGCAGUGUGGCGGAUAAAGCGAACCUCUGCUAGAAUAUCUUGCCCCUGACAUAUCAUUGUGCUUAUUGGUGAUUUCCGAUCGACUGCUUUCCACUAACCGGUGGGCUUCUUGCGGGCAGCAUCAUGUGCUCGACAGCUUUCUAGCCAAAUGCCAAAUAGCAAGGAUUGGUGCCCUGCGGGAGGCUGGAAUCUAUUUAAAAUGAGGCCAGCAUCAGCGGUACAAAGGCCAUCCUCUGGCAGCCCAGGAAGAAUGUGCUGUAAUCAACAUUCUGGGAAGACAAGACAAGAAUGGAGAAGUCACCCACACCGGGAGCCCCAGGGAGCUUCAGGUCCCACUCCAGCACCAGGAGCUCAUCUAUUACACAGCACAGCAAUCAUAAACUGAUUUUUAUUCUGGGUGGGCAUGUGUGAGUUUUACUUACCUCCUUCCCUCAUCAGAUUGUGAUUUCCUGAAGGGCACGGGCUACUCCGAUUCAACUUUUUAUCCCUACAUCUAGCACCUAGAACUGUGUGAUCACUCAGUGGUGACUGAGGUGAAGAGGGGAGGGAAGGAAAAAAGCGAGGACAGGAGAAAGGUCUGGGUGCCUGAGAAAGCCUCUCCUUUGCUUCAGAGGCUUGUUCUGGGGGCUUCUGGAUUUUCGGUCCUUGGGGGCAGGCUGCGAGCUCUCACUGGCCCUUGGUGGUUCUUUCCAGGCUCCCCGUCAGCCUCACAGGGUUGUUGUAAACUGCUCUCGGAAAGGAGUCACAGAGGGAGCCCGUGCUAGGAUCACCCGUGCACUGAACACCCAGCUCAUCCCAGUGGCUAUUUCAGAGUGGAAGAUGGCAAAACGUUUUGAUUUCACUUUGUUUAAAAGCAAGUUGUUCCUUUUCCUGACUUUUAUAUCCCAAGGCUAAGAAACAGUAUAAAACAACUUUUAAAAAUCUAUUUCAAUGUUAUCCAUUGUUCACUAAAAGAGGGUCACAAAGGGCACAAGAUGAGAGGAGACGCCGGGGCUCAUGUGAGUCGCUCGCGGAACGCAUUGGGAGAGCCCUUUCAAAAGAUUUGAUUUAGGAAGCGGGAAAUGAUUAAAACCGGAUGGCUCUGAGGAAAAUUAGAUUUAAAAUUUUCAUUACAUUUGCAUAGUUGGAUGUAAUUUUACUUACGAUCUCCCCUAUAUUCCCUGCAUACAACCUUCAAAACAGGUAAGGCCACGUGAACACCUGUGUGCGUAUGUAUGGGUGUAGGUACGCACACAUAUUUUUAAAUUAUCGAGUCCGGAUGAGAGUUUUUCUUACGACAUACAGAUGUACAACAGUGUGUCCCCAGAUAUGUUUAAUUCACUUUCAUUACCAGCCCAUCUCUUCGCCACAUAAUCGUCACACAGUGGUUCCAACAGGACACCUGAGCGUGGAACGCCGACCCAGCCUUUAAAACACAAGUUUCGGAUUUGGUAUUUUAGCAGGUAAAAGUUCAGUUUUUGGGUUUAUCCUUACAAGAGAGUACAUACGUAGCAUUUACUCUAUUUUUGUAAGGUAAAGACCGAUAAAUCCCCAAAGACCUUGGCAUUUAGGACAAGGUUAAUGCUUUAUCCAUAAAUUUACUCCUUAAACUCUGUGAUUCCUUGUAUCCGAGUGAGAUACCCUGUUGGCUGGACAAUGGCCUAUAUCUUAAAUAUGCAGAGACCCUCCAGAGCACACGGAGUGUGAAGGAACCAUCGGGAAUGGACAAUUAGAAGUCCUAGCGAGUUUCGCCAUCUCUGGGUGUCUAAAUUAAGAAUGCCAGGGUAUGACUGAUACCCGGGAGAGCCUCUGGACUUCUCUACGUGAUGAUUAGCCUUCACUUUAUGGAGGAGUGACAACAACAGAAUAAUAGCCACCGUUUAUCUACUCCUGAAUGCUUACCAUGUGAGGGCUAAAGCCUCGUUAAUUCUUAUCUUAUUUAGUCCUCACAACAGUCCUGUGAAGUAGGUACUAUCAUCAUCCCAUUGUGUAACAAACAAACUGAGGGUUAGAGACGUUAAUUAACUCGUCCCAGGUCGGGCGACUAAAAAAGUUUGGGAGCCAUUUUUUUGAAUAAAAUUCUAACAAAGUCUACAUUUUAAACCGUUGUAAAGUCUUCCUGGUAAGCCACACGUCUGUGGGAUCCCGUGAUUUGUAGUUAUUCAUUUUGUGUAUAGCUUGACCGAAAAAGUAUCAUUCUCAUUGUGCCUACACAUAAAAGCUUCAAACUGA